ensembl:lncRNA
GUGCUGAGGAGCCACCCCGUGAAAACAUCUGGUUCCCCCAGGGCCGUUGCUCUGCCCAGCACUCCAGUGUCCCUCCUCCCAGAGCUUUCCAGAGAGUCAGUGCAGGCUCUCUCCUCCCUUACUCUCUGCUUAGUAUUUUUUCUCAAAGCAAAUUUAUUUUUUUAAAUCAAAAAUAGUUUUGUUUCUGUGGUACUGGGAGCUGAACCCCGGGCUUUCACACUGAGCUACAUCCCCAGCCCUUUUUUUAUUGUCUUAGCCGCUCAGGCUGAGCUUGAACUUGACAUCCUCCCGCCUCAGGCUCCCAGAGUGCUGGGAUUGCCGGCGGCGUGUGUCACCGCCACAACCAGCCUCGAGAGUGGUUUUUGAAGGCUGCCGCACCACGCGCUAUCCUGGCUGUAACAGCAAGGAGGAAGAGGGCACUUCAUCCUACGUUCAAGCAGAUACUGGCGCCAGGGUUCUGGGUGAAUGCAGAUGGGCCCCUCCUCUGCCCCUCAAGAAUGGCUCUCUGUCCUGGGGAGUCACUGGCUGGGGCUGGGGAUGAACCCAGGUGAGUCACCUGCAAAGGUAAACACUAACUGGCUCCCUGUUUCCUAAGCACCUACUUGGUGCCAGGUGCCGCGUGGCAUCUGACAGGCUUUGAGGUUAGUCCUGUUUAUGAACCCUGUUUCACAAAGGUUCAGGGAAGCAAUGGGGCUAGGCCAGGGGUGCACAGAAGUCAGGGGGAUCUGAACAAGUCCCCUGCCACCUUCCAAUCACCUCUGAUCACGUCUCCUCAGGAGAUGCCAGGGGCUUGUCUCUGGGGUGACCGGGAGGCCGAGAACUUCCUCUGGUUCUGACAGAGCUUUCCAGAAUCCGACAGCUCCUUGAGUGUCCUGCACAGGUUGCUUUAGGCAAAUCAGUGUAGGAAGAGAUAUCUUCCCUACAAAGCCGCUGGGGCAAGGCGCAUGGCAGGGGCUGGAAAGGCAGCACCAUUUUCUGCAGCUUUGGCUGCAACCAGCCCCAAGGCCUGGUAGGUAGAAGUUUCUGGAAAAGGCCUCAUGGAGCAGGAAGCGGAUGGCCUCUGAGCAGAGCAGCCCACGGGGACCUGAUGCUGACAGCCUUUAACUCAACCCCCUGGCCCCAGUUGUCAUAGAGGGACACUCCGGGAUGCAAGACUCCCAAGUCUCCCCGUGCUGUCAAGGAGAGGAGGAGCGCCCCCCCCCCCUGAACUGAGUCAGGGCAUGAGGACACAGCUACCCAGACGGGAGGCUCCCGCAGCUCGGCCUCACUUCCUGCCACCAGAGGGCUGUUUCAAAGCGAGGGAGGAACUCAAACGGAGAGAUUGAGCUACCACAAGAUGGGCCUGAUCCAGUGUGAUGUUCAGACCUCAGCAGCCACAUUCAAAACAUGCUUUUGUUUUAAACACGUUGACGUCUUUUAAGUUUGAAAUUUUAGAGAGCAUGUCUGUAUUUUCCCCCCUAAAAAGCAAUGAGCACGCCUGUGUCCCCCUGCCAGCCCCAUUCCCCUGACGACGACGCACGUCCCAACUCCACAAGUGACAUGCAGCCACUCAGUGCGAGUCCAAGCUAAUACAAAUAUCUAUUCUCAC